UCAUCUAGCAAGUCAUGAAUAUUUUAAUCCUUAUGCUCUAACCAAAAUGGUGGUUUAUUAUGGUUUCAGGAGCAAUUUUAUCAAUCUAGGAUUGACAAAGGAACCAUCAGUAAGAAUGACCUUGGCUUGUACAUUUUUGCAUCGAAGCCCUCAAGUGGGGCUGCCAUUUUCAAAUUUUAGGUCUUGUUACAUUAGUUACCUCCAACAUUUUCAAUCCAAAAAUAAAGGUGAAUUAGAAAUGAGAUUGUUCGUCUUCUUCUCUCAACCGUAGGACAUUAUUAUAUUGUAACCAUCAGUAAAAAUGACCUUGGCUUGUACAUUUUUGCAUCGAAGCCCUCAAGUGGGGCUGCCAUUUUCAAAUUUUAGGUCUUGUUACAUUAGUUACCUCCAACAUUUUCAAUCCAAAAAUAAAGGUGAAUUAGAAAUGAGAUUGUUCGUCUUCUUCUCUCAACCGUAGGACAUUAUUAUAUUGUUAAACUCAAUGUUAGGUAACAGUGAAAAUAAUUAUGUUAUGUAACACCUAGUUUGGCGUGUUUGCAUCUUUAUUUAUUUUUCUUCCUAUUAUAGUUUUUAUUUAUUAUUUAAUAAUCCUAAUUAGUUCUUUGUUCUAUUUUUUAUUAGCUGUAACCUCUGUCUUACUUUUUCUUUCUAAUUUUGCCAAGUAUUUUGCUGGUUUUGUGGUUUCACUGUACCCUCUGUCUUACUUUUUCUUUCUAAAUUUGCCGAGUAUUUUGCUGGUUUUGUGGUUCUACCCUUUUCCAUCUCCUGCCGUUUCUUAGAACCGUAGCAUUCUUCAAUUUCAUAUCGUUUGUUCUACCCUUUUCUAUCUCCUGCCCUUUCUUAGAACCGUAGCAUUCUUCAAUUUCAUAUGCUAUGCAUUAAUUUCUUAUUUCGCGAUUCUUUUUCUGUCUUCUUAUUGUGUUAUUUCGCGAUUCUUUUUCUGUCUUCUUAUUGUGUUAUAUGAUUUGUUUUCCUCAUUGUUUGUAACGAUUAUCUGUCAUGAUGACUUUUAUUUUUCUUAUUUUUUAUGAGUAAUUAUUAAUAAAUUUAGUAAUUAUUGAGGCAUUUAAUGAAGUUAUUAGCUAUAGGGGUGGGCAUGGUAUUGUAUAUACCGAAUUAUCAUAUUGAACCGAAAUUUUUGAUACUGUGGUUUUUGGUAUUAUGGUAUUUGGUAUGGUAUAUGAUAUAGAUUUUAAAUUUUUUUGGUAUAUGGUAUGGUAUUCGGUAUUUACAAAUGACAUCGAAAUACCGAAUAUCAUAUCGAAGUAUAUAUAUUUACAUAAGUAACUUUUUGGUAUAUUUAAAUUUUUUUGGUAUAUGGU
rnacentral:lncRNA from 1 species